AUUUUGUAAAGUAAAUGCAAUCGAAACAAUGCGUUUCUCUUCGUCAAUGUACUACACGUUGAGUGCACGAGUCUAAAAAAUAAAAAAAAAUGCACGAGUGAGGGGCGUGUCGGAGCGAAGUGACGGUACUGACGACGAGGACGGUGGCGUCGCGGGGCUUGGGGGAGGGGGGGGGGGUAGCAGUUCCCUCCACUCCCCAUCCCUCUCUAUGGCGCUCGUCGGCCCACUUGGGCGGCAGCCUUCUUUCCGUUUGACUGUCUCACUCCACCGCCUACCUCGUUCACUACGCUCUCUCACUCUACCUACGCUUUCCACUCUCUUCCUACGUUCACUCAUGUACACACCGCAGGUUAUAAAAGUACCCCGCGCAAUCGUCAGACUCUUAGUCAACUCACGAACGUUUACGAGUGCGUAUAUGGCUCUCUUCUCUUUCUAUUGUUACGUUCGUUCAAUUUGAAUUUCGAAGAAAAUUUCAACCGUAAAUUUCUUUGCGUGUAUACGUCUCUUAAAAUUCCCCGAAUUCGGACGCAGUUGCAGCCUUACUUCCUUCUCGGGAAUAUUUAUAUUGGAAUUAAGUUUUCCAUCCUCGUUAUUCCCUUCAGUUUUUCUAAGGAUUACUUCUAAUAUUCGCAUAAUUAUUGUUUACGACGCAUUUCUACCAUCGAUUCGAUCAAUACUUUAAACUUACAUGUAUCCCAACCAACUUCAGCUUGGUCCUUCCGUUCUCCGGAUUUAACGUUGAAGCUUUCUCUCUUUCUCUCUGUCUUUCUCUCGUGCUUUAUCGAGCUGUUUGUGAACAUCGACCGUUAUACAUUGACCGCAUUUAAAGGUAAAUUCUAUGGAAACGUUAACGUAGAUUUCUCCCAAAUGAUAUGAAUUCUUCGACGUCGUUCGGAAAUCACGUGAUAUACACGAUAAAAAAAAGGAAAUAACAAUUGACCGGUUCUUAACCGUACCAGGCACCACCACAACCGAUCCCUAUCACUUUUGAUGAAUGGCAACACGAAGAUAAGAAAAAAU